CUCCUUCUGAUCACUCUGGCUGAUUGUAGACAUUCAGGGAGUCUUUCCACUGGCUUGAAUGGGCAUUGAAUCAGUCCACUGGUUCAUUUUGGGGGGAUUCUACUUUAGCAUCAAAGGCAAGGAAGUGUUUACUGCUUGGUCACUUAAGUGGCACAUUUGAACUUCCUCAGGUCUCUGCAGAGAAGGACAAGACUCCCAAAAGGACUGGUUAAUCAUGCAAUGACUGAAGAACAGAUUAUUUCACAAGGGCAAAACCAUCUUGAAAAGUCCCUUCGGUUUUACUUAAGAGAACCAACCACCUUCUUGUAAAUAGUACUGCACUAUUCUCAAGGAGAUGGUACAUGACAGUGACAUGGCCAGGCCACAUGAUGAGACUUCUCAAGCAGGGCUCUCAAAUUAUUUCAGGAGAGGCACCUUACUGAAGAUCACUCACCGAGAAGAUCAACGAAAGGAAUAAUUUGGCAAACAUCCUGCAGAGCAAAAAGAGAGCGGAAAGAUGUGUGCAUGUAGCUCUACCACACACCUAUUUGCAGUGCAGAUGUAAAGAGGCACCCAGCUCAUCAGCUGGGGUUUUAAAGGGGCAAUAUCAACGUAAAUAUUACAAUUGUCACCAUUUUUAAAAAACUUUCUAUUGUGACAAAUACCACUUAGGACUACUUGAGAGAUUAGAAUAUAGAUUUCUUUUUUUCUUUUAACUUUUUGUAUUUGACAGCAACUGUUUCUCCUUCUGUGUGAGUCUUUCACACAUGACAUCCAUAGAGAAAAGAAACUUCAAAACAAAAAUAACCCUUCCCACCACGCUAAAAACACAAAAACAAAAAACAAAAAAAACCAGGAAAAUGUGAUUGGUACCAAAAUAACUGGUAGGGAGACUGGAUUUUGAGUUAAAGGUGUCCCCACAUUGGAUAAAGGGCUGACUGGCAUAGAAAGAGCUAUUAAGUGUGGUAAGCUGAUGGAUAGGUGGGGAAAGUGGGGCCUCCGAACGUUUCUCUCCAAAUAAACUGAAUGAUAGAGGAAUACAUUGUUGACUACUGAUAAAUAAAACAAACACAU